UACGGGGGGAGCAAGCGUUGUUCGGAUUUACUGGGCGUAAAGGGCGCGUAGGCGGCUUGCACAGUCAGGCGUGAAAUUCCUGGGCUCAACCUGGGGACUGCGCUUGAGACGUGUGGGCUUGAGUGGGGAAGAGGGUCGUGGAAUUCCCAGUGUAGAGGUGAAAUUCGUAGAUAUUGGGAAGAACACCGGUGGCGAAGGCGGCGACCUGGUCCUUGACUGACGCUGAGGCGCGAAAGCGUGGGGAGCAAACAGG
rnacentral:rRNA from 1 species